AACCGGAUUAGAUACCCUGGUAGUCCACGCCCUAAACGAUGUCUACUAGUUGUCGGGUCUUAAUUGACUUGGUAACGCAGCUAACGCGUGAAGUAGACCGCCUGGGGAGUACGGUCGCAAGAUUAAAACUCAAAGGAAUUGACGGGGACCCGCACAAGCGGUGGAUGAUGUGGAUUAAUUCGAUGCAACGCGAAAAACCUUACCUACCCUUGACAUGUACAGAAUCCCGAAGAGAUUUGGGAGUGUUCGAAAGAAAACUGUAACACAGGUGCUGCAUGGCUGUCGUCAGCUCGUGUCGUGAGAUGUUGGGUUAAGUCCCGCAACGAGCGCAACCCUUGUCAUUAGUUGCUACGAAAGGGCACUCUAAUGAGACUGCCGGUGACAAACCGGAGGAAGGUGGGGAUGACGUCAAGUCCUCAUGGCCCUUAUGGGUAGGGCUUCACACGUCAUACAAUGGUACAUACAGAGGGCCGCCAACCCGCGAGGGGGAGCUAAUCCCAGAAAGUGUAUCGUAGUCCGGAUUGUAGUCUGCAACUCGACUACAUGAAGUUGGAAUCGCUAGUAAUCGCGGAUCAGCAUGUCGCGGUGAAUACGUUCCCGGGUCUUGUACACACUGCCCGUCACACCAUGGGAGCGGGUUUUACCAGAAGUAGGUAGCCUAACCGUAAGGAGGGCGCUUACCACGGUAGGAUUCGUGACUGGGGUGAAGUCGUAACAAGGUAGCCGUA
rnacentral:rRNA from 1 species